GCCCCGUUCGUCUAGCGGCCUAGGACGCCGGCCUUUCACGCCGGUAGCACGGGUUCGAAUCCCGUACGGGGUA
rnacentral:tRNA from 2 species